GACGAACGCUGGCGGCGGGCUUAACACAUGCAAGUCGAACGGAAAGGCCCUGCUUUUGUGGGGUGAUCGAGUGGCGAACGGGUGAGUAACACGUGAGUAUCCUGCCCUUGACUUUGGGAUAACUUAAGGAAACUGGGGCUAAUACCGGAUAGGAGACCCUGCUGCAUGGUGGGGGUUGGAACGUUUCGGCGGUUGGGGAUGGACUCGCGGCUUAUGAGCUUGUUGGUGGGGGAGGGGCUGACCAAGGCUUUGACGGAUAGCCGGCCUGGGUGGGUGGCCGGGCACAUGGCGACUGAGAUACGGACCAGACUCCUACGGUAGACAGUAGUCGGGAGUAUUGCACAAUGGGCGGAAGUCUGAUGCAGCAACGCCGCGGGCGGGAUGACGGCUUGCGGGUUGUAAACCGCUGCCGCCUGUGACGAAGCGUGAGUGACGGUAAUGGGUAAAGAAGCACCGGCUAACUACGUG
rnacentral:rRNA from 1 species